rnacentral:rRNA from 1 species
AUACGGAGGGUGCAAGCGUUACUCGGAAUCACUGGGCGUAAAGCGCGCGCAGGCGGCUUGAUAAGUUGGAUGUGAAAGCCUACGGCUCAACCGUAGAACUGCAUCCAAAACUGUCAGGCUAGAGUGUGGGAGAGGAAGAUGGAAUUAGUUGUGUAGGGGUAAAAUCCGUAGAGAUAACUAGGAAUACCAAAAGCGAAGGCAAUCUUCUGGAACACUACUGACGCUGAGGCGCGAAGGCGUGGGGAGCGAACCGGAUUAGAUACCCGAGUAGUCC